GCUGUGACACGUACCUGUAGUCCCAGCCAUUCAGGAGGCCAAGGUGGGAGGAUUGCUUGGGUCCAGGAGUUCUGGGCUGUAGUGCAUUAUGCCGACUGGGUGUCCACACUAAGUUCGGCAUCAAUAUGGUGCCCUCCCAGGAGCCGGGGACCACCAGGUUGCCUAAGGAGGGGUGAACCGGCCCAGGUCAGAAACGGAGCAGGUCAAAACUCCCGUGCUGAUCACACCUGUGAAUAGCCACUGCACUCCCACCUGGGCAACAUAGCGAGACCCUGUCAAUU
ensembl:misc_RNA Metazoa_SRP Metazoan signal recognition particle RNA